rnacentral:hammerhead_ribozyme from 1 species
GCACUGCUGUAGAGUCCUACAACAGGAUGAAACGGCCGUCCAGUGU